rnacentral:rRNA from 1 species
UACGGAGGGUGCAAGCGUUAUCCGGAUUCACUGGGUUUAAAGGGUGCGUAGGUGGGCUGGUAAGUCAGUGGUGAAAUCUCCAGGCUUAACUUGGAAACUGCCAUUGAUACUAUCAGUCUUGAAUACCGUGGAGGUCAGCGGAAUAUGUCAUGUAGCGGUGAAAUGCUUAGAUAUGACAUAGAACACCAAUUGCGAAGGCAGCUGGCUACACGAAUAUUGACGCUGAUGCACGAAAAGCGUGGGGAUCAAACAGG